rnacentral:rRNA from 1 species
GACGAACGCUGGCGGCGUGCCUAAUACAUGCAAGUAGAACGUACAGUUUAUACCGUAGCUUGCUACACCAUAGACUGUGAGUUGCGAACGGGUGAGUAACGCGUAGGUAACCUGCCUGGUAGCGGGGGAUAACUAUUGGAAACGAUAGCUAAUACCGCAUAAUAUUAAUUAUUGCAUGAUAAUUAAUUGAAAGGUGCAAUUGCACCACUACCAGAUGGACCUGCGUUGUAUUAGCUAGUAGGUGAGGUAACGGCUCACCUAGGCGACGAUACAUAGCCGACCUGAGAGGGUGAUCGGCCACACUGGGACUGGGACACGGCCCAGACUCCUACGGGAGGCAGCAGUAGGGAAUCUUCGGCAAUGGACGAAAGUCUGACCGAGCAACGCCGCGGGAGUGAAGAAGGUUUUCGGAUCGUAAAGCUCUGUUGUAAGAGAAGAACGGGUGUGAGAGUGGAAAGUUCACACUGUGACGGUAUCUUAACAGAAAGGGACGGCUAACUACGUG